AGGCGCGAAAACUUUACAAUGCGGGAAACCGUGAUAAGGGAACUCCGAGUGCCCGUAAAAUCGGGCUGUCCAUCUGUUUAAAUAACAGGUGAAGAAAGGGCCGGGCAAGACCGGUGCCAGCCGCCGCGGUAAUACCGGCGGCUCGAGUGGUGGCCACUAUUACUGGGCUUAAAGCGUUCGUAGCUGGUCUGUUAAGUCUCUGGGGAAAUCUACUGGCUUAACCAAUAGGCGUCUCAGGGAUACUGGCAGACUAGGGACCGGGAGAGGUGAGAGGUACUCCAGGGGUAGGAGUGAAAUCCUGUAAUCCUUGGGGGACCACCUGUGGCGAAGGCGUCUCACCAGAACGGCUCCGACAGUGAGGGACGAAAGCUGGGGGAGCAAACCGGAUUAGAUACCCGGGUAGUCCCAGCUGUAAACGAUGCGCGUUAGGUGUAUCGGUGACCACGAGUCACCGAGGUGCCGAAGAGAAAUCGUGAAACGUGCCGCCUGGGAAGUACGGUCGCAAGGCUGAAACUUAAAGGAAUUGGCGGGGGAGCACCACAACAGGUGGAGCCUGCGGUUUAAUCGGACUCAACGCCGGAAAUCUCACCGGAUAAGACAGCUGGAUGAUAGUCGGGCUGAAGACUCUACUUGACUAGCUGAGAGGAGGUGCAUGGCCGUCGUCAGUUCGUACUGUGAAGCAUA
rnacentral:rRNA from 1 species